rnacentral:rRNA from 1 species
ACCGAACUGAGAGGUUGAUCGGCCACAUUGGGACUGAGACACGGCCCAAACUCCUACGGAAGGCAGCAG